CUCCAACUCAGCUACGGUCAUAUCAUGGCUGUUUUAGCCUAAAUUGUGCAUAUUCUGAUUUUUAUUUAAAUAAUUCAGAGUGUAGAGAAUUAAUAUGCCUGCCUCCAGUCAGAUGUCAAACUCCAGCCCCAUAAUGUAUCCAAUGUGGUGAGCACACAUAGAACUCAAGAAUAAGCUAAAUGUAUUUAUUUUAAGCAGCAAGCAUAAGCCAUAAAGUUUCAAGUCAAUACCUGACUUUUCACAAAAUGUCAAGAUAAUGGAAAUUAAAUAUUGAAUAUAUUCUAUUGCAC